AUAUAAGAUAUUAUAAAAACACUCCAAAAAUGAUUUAUAUUUUUGAACAACAAAAACUAAAAGCAACCAAUAACUUAAUAUUAGUUCACUAACAAAAUACUCUAGCGACGAAACAGUGAACCAUUUAUCUCACUAAGACGUAACAUACAAUAUGUUGAACAUUAAUCUCUAUCUAGAAAAGAUAGUGUCUAAGGAAUAAAUUUGCGAGGACAGGCGAAUGGAGAAGUUUGUAAGAAUUGUCACGAAGAAUGGAUAGGUGGUCGUCCAUAAAUGGGAUUCGCUAAAAAUCGAUAUUGAAGUUCUUGCAUUGUGAAAAUUGCGAUAAAAGGAAUAAAACUACGCUCUAUUAAAUCAGCUUGUUAUUAAAAUAAUCGAUAAAAUAAAAAUAACAUUAAAAUUGAAGGGAAUUUUUAUAUAUCAAAAUAUCAUGUUCCUGAUUUUUUUGGAUUUGAAAGUUCUUAACGAUUAUUGAACGAAUAUCCUUAUCAUCCCACGUAAAGGUAUAAACUAAAUGAUGCAGACGUGAGUUAAAGAUCGAUAAAACGACUACAAUGAGUCUCCAUUCAAUAGACGUCGUAAACAAGCGCCGCGCGCGCGUACACAAAUUAACAUACCAAUAUUGCAAUCUCAAUUAACAGAUUAUCGAUAUCGUAAAUCGAUUUUUUCUUCUUUUUACAUUUUACUGAGUUACAAUAUUAUCUUUCUUUAAAUUUCUCAAGAAAGAUAUAUACAUAAAUAAGAA
rnacentral:lncRNA from 1 species